rnacentral:misc_RNA from 1 species
CGUUUCAAGAGAACGAUCGGCCCGGUGUGAUCGCCGCACGUGCAGUCGGUCGGCUACUCGUCGAUCAUGGAAUCGUUGCCGGCGAAAAGGUGUGCGUCGUCGAGGUGCCGCAGGUCGCGCGCGAAGCCGAAGCGCUCGCCGCCGCACUCGGCGAAGCCGGUGCCGAGGUCACGCGCGUGGCACUCGCUGACACACUGGGCGUGCGCGGUCGCAGCUGGGUAAGCGGCGUCGAUACAAAAGGCGGGCGCGUCGACUGCGAUCUCGUCGCCGUCGCGGCGAUUCCCUCGCCCGCAUCGGAGGGGGCGCGCCAGCAAGGCUGCAAGGUCACGCUCGAUCCCGACGCCGGCGGAUUUCGCAUCGUCGUCGACGAGCACGGCCGGACGACGACCGAAGGCGUGUGGGCCUGCGGUGACGUCACGGGCUAUCAAGGUCCACAACGUGCUGCUGCGGAUGGCGCCCGCGUCGGUGCGAAUGUCGCCGCCUCACUGGCCUCGGUGGAGUAAACCAUGGCCGGCAAGAUCGUACUCUGCCGCUGUGAAGACGUGACGCUCGCCGAUCUCGAGCACUGCGUCACGCGCGGCUAUCUCGAUAUCGAGGAGGUCAAGCGCUACACCGGCUUUGGCACAGGGCCCUGCCAAGGCAAGGAAUGCCUCGCACCGAUGGCGACGCAGCUCGCGCGCCUCACCGGCAAGCACCCGG